rnacentral:rRNA from 1 species
ACGGAAGGCAGCAGUGAGGAAUAUUGGUCAAUGGGCGGAAGCCUGAACCAGCCAAGUCGCGUGAAGGAAGAAGGUAUUAUGUAUUGUAAACUUCUUUAGCAGCAGAGAAAUAAGGUGGACGUGUCCACUGAUGCUAGUAUGCUGAGAAUAAGCAUCGGCUAACUCCGUGCCAGCAGCCGCGGUAAUACGGAGGAUGCGAGCGUUAUCCGGAUUUAUUGGGUUUAAAGGGUGCGCAGGCGGCUUUCUAAGUCAGUGGUCAAAUCGUGGUGCUCAACGCCAUCCCGCCAUUGAUACUGGAGAGCUUGAUUGCGGUCGAGGUUUGCGGAAUUCGUCGUGUAGCGGUGAAAUGCAUAGAUAUGACGAAGAACACCGAUUGCGUAGGCAGCAGACCAGGCCGUAAAUGACGCUCAUGCACGAAAGUGCGGGGAUCGAACAGGAUUAGAUACCCUGGUA